UGAGGAGAAGAGCAAACAAACAAAAGCAGAUAGCAGAGCAAGUAAGGGGGAGCAGAGAAAGCAAAGAGUAGCAGAGCAAGUCAGGGGGAGCAGAGAGCAGAGCAAGUAAGGGGGAGCAGAGCAAUCUAAGGUGUGACAAUGACACCUUACCUACCUGAGAUUGGAGACAAUGUGGACACACGUAAGAUGUGAAACCAUACCUACCUG